UUCUCCAUUCUGACACAGAAAGGAGGUGAAACUUGUGGAUUAUUUUAUUUCAUUUAUAAUUUCCGUUAUGGCAGGUAUUGUCUCAUACUUUAUCUGCAAAUGGUUGGACGGAAAUAAAUAAGACAACCAACCUACAUAUUGCAUCAUCAUGAUGCAGGAACCCCCAGAGGCUGCCACCUCUGGGGGUUCCUUUUCCAUU
rnacentral:sRNA from 1 species